GACGAACGCUGGCGGCGGGCUUAACACAUGCAAGUCGAACGGAAAGGCCCUGCGUUUGUGGGGUGCUCGAGUGGCGAAAGGGUGAGUAACACGUGAGUAACCUGCCCUUGACUUUGGGAUAACUUCAGGAAACUGGGGCUAAUACCGGAUAGGAGCCCCUGCUGCAUGGUGGGGGUUGGAAAGUUUCGGCGGUUGGGGAUGGACUCGCGGCUUAUCAGCUUGUUGGUGGGGUAGUGGCUUACCAAGGCUUUGACGGGUAGCCGGCCUGAGAGGGUGACCGGCCACAUUGGGACUGAGAUACGGCCCAGACUCCUACGGGAGGCAGCAGUGGGAAAUAUUGCCCAGUGGGCGGAAGCCUGAGGCAGAAACGCCGCGUGCGUGAUGACGGCCUUCGGGUUGUAAACCGCUUUCGCCUGUGACGAAGCGUGAGUGACGGUAAUGGGUAAAGAAGCACCGGCUAACUACGUG
rnacentral:rRNA from 1 species